rnacentral:rRNA from 1 species
CAGGCCUAACACAUGCAAGUCGAGCGGUAACAGGUGUAGCAAUACAUGCUGACGAGCGGCGAACGGGUGAGUAAUGCUUUGGAAUCUUCCCAGUAGUGGGGAACAACCAGUCGAAAGAUUGGCUAAUACCGCAUACGUCUGUGAAGAGAAAGCGGGGGAUCGUAAGACCUCGCGCUAUUGGAUGAGCCAAAGUCGGAUUAGCUAGUUGGUGAGGUAAAGGCUCACCAAGGCGACAAUCCGUAGCUGGUCUGAGAGGAUGAUCAGCCUCACUGGGACUGAGACACGGCCCAGACUCCUACGGGAGGCAGCAGUGGGGAAUAUUGGACAAUGGGCGCAAGCCUGAUCCAGCCAUGCCGCGUGGGUGAUGAAGGCCCUAGGGUUGUAAAGCCCUUUCGGCGGGGAAGAUAAUGACGGUACCCGCAGAAGAAGCCCCGGCUAACUUCGUGCCAGCAGCCGCGGUAAUACC